rnacentral:sRNA from 1 species
AAACAGCUGAAAGGAGGUGAUCCAGUGUCUAGAGAAACAUUGGAGAAGGGUGUCGGAACAGUGUGCGGGGUCCUGCUUUAGGGUAAUUCCAGGGCAAUGCCUAACACACUGGCGAGCAGCCUAACCGGCCCCCGCCUCCGUAUUCUCGAAGGGUCGUCCCAAGGGCGGCCCU